rnacentral:rRNA from 1 species
GAUGAACGCUGGCGGCGUGCCUAAUACAUGCAAGUCGAGCGAACGGACGAGAAGCUUGCUUCUCUGAUGUUAGCGGCGGACGGGUGAGUAACACGUGGAUAACCUACCUAUAAGACUGGGAUAACUUCGGGAAACCGGAGCUAAUCCCGGAUGAUCUUUUGAACCGCAUGGUUCAAAAGUGAAAGACGGUCUUGCUGUCACUUAUCGAUGGAUCCGCGCUGCAUUAGCUAGUUGGUAAGUUAACGGCUUACCAAGGCAACGAUGCAUAGCCGACCUGAGAGGGUGAUCGGCCACAUGGGAACUGAGACGCGGUCCAGACGCCUACGGGAGGCAGCAGUAGGGAAUGUGCCGCAAUGGGCGAAAGCAUGACGGAGCAACGCCGCGUGAGUGAUGAAGGUCUUCGGAUCGUAAAAAUCUGUUAUUAGGGAAGAACAUAUGUGUAAGUAAAUGUGCACAUAGUGACGGUAACGAAUCAGAAAGCAACGGCUAACUACGUG